rnacentral:rRNA from 1 species
UGAACGCUGGCGGCAUGCCUUACACAUGCAAGUCGAACGGCAGCACGGGUGCUUGCACCUGGUGGCGAGUGGCGAACGGGUGAGUAAUACAUCGGAAUGUACCUUGUAGUGGGGGAUAGCUCGGCGAAAGCCGGAUUAAUACCGCAUACGCUCUGAGGAGGAAAGCGGGGGACCUUCGGGCCUCGUGCUACAAGAGCAGCCGAUGUCAGAUUAGCUUGUUGGUGAGGUAAAAGCUCACCAAGGCGACGAUCUGUAGCUGGUCUGAGAGGACGACCAGCCACACUGGGACUGAGACACGGCCCAGACUCCUACGGGAGGCAGCAGUGGGGAAUUUUGGACAAUGGGCGAAAGCCUGAUCCAGCAAUGCCGCGUGUGUGAAGAAGGCCUCGGUUGUAAGCACUUUGUCGUAACGAAUACCUUGGUUAAUACUCGGGGAGUGACGUACGGAACGAAUAAGCACGGCUACUACGUGCCAGCAG